rnacentral:lncRNA from 1 species
AGCCACCAACUACAUCAUUUAUGAGUACAAUGAUAAAAGCAUUUUUCAGUUCUAACCUCUUCUUUCGCCAUUAUUUUUUUUUUUUUGCUUUUUUGCUUUUUUCCCUUUUCUCUUUUAGCACAGCAGGUUCUUCGUUAUAUAUGCAUGACCAAUAUUUAGCUUCUUCACCUCAAGUAAAAUGUGUUAAAAUUCACAAAGAAAGCACCAACCAGAAGUAACAAGAUGGUAUAACAGUUCUCUUUCUUUCAUUAGCGAAAAAUAAAUAACUAUAUAUAAAGGAAUAAAAACGGAAGAACAAAAAGAAAAGGACUUGAUAUAAAUAAAAAAAAAUGCCUGGCUCCAUCCUGUUUGCCGUUUAACCACGCAAAUGAGAAUUUCUUUUUUUUUCACAUAGAGACACCUACAUUGUCCUCCUCCAUCUUCAGCUUCAAUCUGUGAAAGUCAGAAACAACCUUGGAUUUACAAAGCAACGUUGGUCAAACGGUACUACCUCUUUCUUCAACAACAUAAGGGCAGUUUCGCCAUUCCACAUCUUCUUCUUCUUCCUUCUUGCAAUCCCAGAAACUCCCAUUUUCAUCUCAACAAAUGCCCAAAUGCAACAGAGAGAAAAAAAUAAAAAAAAAGGGUAUUUUUAGCUUUAGUAAUUUAGCUACACCACCCCCAACCAAACACCACUACGACUACUACUAGUAAUAGUACCAGUACUAGUAUAUUCUGAAACUGUCUGUGUUUUCUGAAGGUCUAGAGAGAGAAAUUUUCAUUAGAGGAGUGUUUUUUUUUCUUGAUUGGUAAUGUCAAAAUAAAAAUGUUUAGAGGUUAUUGAAUUUGCAGGGGUUAGGGGGGUAUUGGGAUUUGGGAAUUUGGGUAGAUGUGUUUGGGCCUAUUAUUAUUUGGAUUUAGAAUUCAUGGGUGAGCCGGUGAAAGGCCAUUUUUCAACUUUCUCUUUGUUCCUACUUCUGCUACGACUUUCCCAUUUGUCUUCCACCUUUACCUUUACCUUUUCUCUUUAUUUGUC